UACGUAGGGUCCGAGCGUUGUCCGGAAUUACUGGGCGUAAAGAGCUCGUAGGUGGUUUGUCGCGUUGUUCGUGAAAACUCACAGCUCAACUGUGGGCGUGCGGGCGAUACGGGCAGACUUGAGUACUGCAGGGGAGACUGGAAUUCCUGGUGUAGCGGUGGAAUGCGCAGAUAUCAGGAGGAACACCGGUGGCGAAGGCGGGUCUCUGGGCAGUAACUGACGCUGGGGAGCGAAAGCGUGGGGAGCGAACAGG
rnacentral:rRNA from 1 species